rnacentral:rRNA from 1 species
GACGAACGCUGGCGGCGUGCUUAACACACGCAAGUCGAACGAAGAGCGAUGGAAGCUUGCUUCUAUCAAUCUUAGUGGCGAACGGGUGAGUAACGCGUAAUCAACCUGCCCUUCAGAGGGGGACAACAGUUGGAAACGACUGCUAAUACCGCAUACGAUCUAAUCUCGGCAUCGAGGAUAGAUGAAAGGUGGCCUCUACAUGUAAGCUAUCACUGAAGGAGGGGAUUGCGUCUGAUUAGCUAGUUGGAGGGGUAACGGCCCACCAAGGCGAUGAUCAGUAGCCGGUCUGAGAGGAUGAACGGCCACAUUGGGACUGAGACACGGCCCAGACUCCUACGGGAGGCAGCAGUGGGGAAUCUUCCGCAAUGGACGAAAGUCUGACGGAGCAACGCCGCGUGAGUGAUGACGGCCUUCGGGUUGUAAAGCUCGGUUAAUCGGGACGAAAGGCCUUCUUGCGAAUAGUGAGAAGGAUUGACGGUACCGGAAUAGAAAGCCACGGCUAACUACGUG